rnacentral:rRNA from 1 species
UACAGAGGUGCCAAGCGUUGUUCGGAUUUAUUGGGCGUAAAGGGUGCGUAGGCGGUGAUGCAAGUCGGGUGUGAAAUUCCGGAGCCUAACUCCGGAACUGCAUUCGAAACUGCAUCGCUCGAGGUCUGGAGAGGUAAUUGGAAUUCUAGGUGUAGCAGUGAAAUGCGUAGAUAUCUAGAGGAACACCAGAGGCGAAAGCGAAUUACUGGACAGAACCUGACGCUGAGGCACGAAAGCUAGGGUAGCAAAC